rnacentral:lncRNA from 1 species
GAAAAAUGGCUGCUGCAUCCGAGUGUACUGCGCCCCGGAGCGGGCUGUAGGGCCCGCGCCACCCCGUCCCCGCUGCUCCCUUACCAUGAUGCCGUUGCUACUUGCAAUCGUCUUGCUCUCUUGGGGAUUCGUCAUCUAUGCAUCAACUGUAGCUGCACGAUGGCAGCUACAAAAGGAGUUUCCAGACAAAUUCUUCUGAAUGAACUUUUGUAAUUCUUAACAAACUGUUCUUUUCCUCAAAUGGCACCUAUGUAGACUCAAAAGUAAAAUUCACAAUGCAAAUUUG